GUGGGAUACCGCCCUGACUGUAUUGAAAUUCUAACCUACGGGUCUUAUCGACCCGGGAGACAGUGUCAGGUGGGCAGUUUGACUGGGGCGGUCGCCUCCUAAAGUGUAACGGAGGCGCCCAAAGGUUCCCUCAGAAUGGUUGGAAAUCAUUCGUAGAGUGCAAAGGCAUAAGGGAGCUUGACUGCGAGACCUACAAGUCGAGCAGGGACGAAAGUCGGGCUUAGUGAUCCGGUGGUUCCGCAUGGAAGGGCCAUCGCUCAACGGAUAAAAGCUACCCCGGGGAUAACAGGCUUAUCUCCCCCAAGAGUCCACAUCGACGGGGAGGUUUGGCACCUCGAUGUCGGCUCAUCGCAUCCUGGGGCUGUAGUCGGUCCCAAGGGUUGGGCUGUUCGCCCAUUAAAGCGGUACGCGAGCUGGGUUCAGAACGUCGUGAGACAGUUCGGUCCCUAUCCGUCGUGGGCGUAGGAAAUUUGAGAGGAGCUGUCCUUAGUACGAGAGGACCGGGAUGGACGCACCGCUGGUGUACCAGUUGUUCUGCCAAGGGCAUAGCUGGGUAGCUAUGUGCGGAAGGGAUAAGUGCUGAAAGCAUCUAAGCAUGAAGCCCCCCUCAAGAUGAGAUUUCCCAUAGCGUAAGCUAGUAAGAUCCCUGAAAGAUGAUCAGGUUGAUAGGUUCGAGGUGGAAGCAUGGUGACAUGUGGAGCUGACGAAUACUAAUAGAUCGAGGACUUAACCAUAUAA
rnacentral:rRNA from 1 species